rnacentral:lncRNA from 1 species
UGUGUUUUAAGUGCAGUAUUCAUGGAGACCCUCUCCCCAGAAAUACAUGUUAAUUAUUCCUAACUUUUCUCAGAGGCUUGUUUUGCUGUCUUGUGAUAAAAUCUCAAGGUCAGGAAGGAAGACACUUUUAGUGAUGCUCAUACAGUUGGCAUUGUAAAAUUUUAUUUUUAAGUGAAGGUGGUGCUAAUGGAAAGGGUGAUAAAUUUUAAUUUCUAUUAAAUACUGGUGCACUGGCUAUAACUAUCUAGUAGCACUUGCACAACACUGUUGACAGGCUUGCUAAUGGAUUAAAGGGAGUUGAUGUCAUGCUAGCUAUGGAGUGGAAAUGUAAGCAGAACUUGUAGUUUUCUUGUCCAGUAUACUGGGGAGUGCCGACCAAUUGCCAAAAAUUCUGAAGAAACCUGAACAGUUCAUCACUCUGAUCGUGUUUCACUCCCUCAUUUCUCAGCUUCAGGACUAUAGGGCCUGCUCCAGUGGAGAACAAAAGGAGCAUGAGAGCUGAUGGCUGCAUCAGAGGUGCCCAGGCAGUAAUGUAUAGAAGGGAAUUAAACUCACUUGCAAAGAAGCACAGGACUUGGAGAUGCAGGACAUUGGUUUCACUGGCUAUUAUAAACUCUUUUCUGGGUGGCCUGGGGCAGGUGAGUUUUUGGGGUGUGUGCCCUGUCUUGCUUAUGUGGAAAGCAACAUGACUUAGAUUUCUGGAGCAGGUUAAACUCUGGUAUUUGGGACAUACUGUACUAGUGAUGAAUGAGUCCUUUCCCAACAAACUUUAAUUCUCUUAGAUUUCAACUAUCCAUUUUUUAAUGGCCAAGAGGCUGUCUGAGAAGCAUUAUGAUGCUGAUUUGGACCACUUGACAAAUCACAGUGUUUGGGUUUUCCAUUAAUAAGACAGAAAAAAAUGUAGGUCUGUCAGAUGAUUGUGGUGCUUAGAUAAUCUCUUCCUUUGCUGUUUGUCAGAGCAGUGUUAUAAUUAGUCCUUUGCAUUUUUCUCAUUUAAUUCAUCCCUCACUGCAUGUAUCUUAUCAUGCACUAUCAUGAGGCAAGUUGAAACAUUAAUUAAUUUGAGCCAUUUCAGAGAGCUGAAGGACUCAUUUAGCUGUCUUUUCCCUUUGAAUUCAGAGACCAAGAUUGUAGCUACUUGCUGCCUUCAAGUGAGAACGGUCUCUGGCAAAAUUCUUCACCUCAAGUGAACUUGCAGACAUGCGAUUUCUUGACUGGCACCUGCCAUUUAAUACCUAAGUUCUCCAUCUAGAAAUGCAGAAGAAUUAGUGAAUUCUUGUAUUAUGUAUCCUGAAUUGUGUAUGGAUAGGGAUCUGUGUCUCUGGAUCCUACUUACACUCCCUUAAUAUGUUUUAUAAUUCAGAUGUGGAUACAGUGUUUUUAAAAAACAACCAUCAACCCCCUAUAUAGUAUGUUUUACUGUAAUUUCUUUAUUUGGUCCUGAGUAUCUUCUUACAAGUAUUUCUGUGGACAUGCAAAGAGUACCUGCUGUUCCUUGCAAGACUGGUUUCCAGCCCUGCCUGCAUUAUGGAUAAAAUCCUUGUUUCAGUCAGGAAAGCAUCCUGCUGCAGAUAUUGGUCUCUGUGCUAAAUACUGGCUUACAAGCAAUCAAUGCAGUAUGGAAAACUGAGGUGUAAUAUGAAUUUUCAAACCGAGGCAAAAUUGACACUCUGUAAUCUGAAACAUUAAGGUCGAAGGCAGGCUGGGUCAUCAGGAAUUAAUGAAAACCAAAAACUGAGGAGGAGAAACUUUGAAAGACAUUCAAACACAUCACAGAAAAUCCAAUUCUUCUGUCUUCCUUUUCAGAUCUGAAGGCACACUCCAGCUCACUUGGCCUUCACCCUGGUCUAAAACAAGUGUACUCACAGCUGGCUAUCAAAACCAUGCCAGUCCCAGUGUAACCUUUCCUCCUGUUUUUACACCAUCCUAAAGAGCUGCAAGGUAAAAGGCACUGGACACUUUCCCCAUGUUAAUAUUAAUUUGGUUGUCCACUUCUGUUUUUCAUCUGUGGCUAGUUUCUUGUGGCUGUUACAUCCAACUCGACAAGUGCUGACAUUUUUCUCCCAUUCUUCAGACAGUGCUGUGAAUGGAUUUAUGUAACUGUCUUUCCUGCUCUGUGUCUGAUUUUAUAGCUUGAUGGAUAGGUCAAUUUUCAGAGGCAUGGGAUCCACAGUGAUGCUGCUUUUAGUUGCCAUUUUUUUUCAGGUCUCCUUGACAAAAUGCAGGUGAGUAUUUUGCAGUCAAAAGGGUUUGGAAAUUCUGCUGACUGAUCACUUUUCAACAAUUUGAUUAUUGCUAAAUUCUGUGAGACUCCAGUGAAGUUAAAGGCAAUGGAGAGUGUAUUGUUAUUGGAGCAGCUUUGUGUUUAGCAUGACUUGCAUCACACUUGACUGCUUUUCAAAUAUGGGCAUCUGAAGAAUACUCUGGGAAAUUUCUGAUUCCUCCUUCUGGGCUCUGGGAAGUGAAUAAAGGUUAAUCUCAUGCACCUUGUGCCA